rnacentral:rRNA from 1 species
UACGGAGGGUGCGAGCGUUGUCCGGAAUCACUGGGCGUAAAGGGCGCGUAGGCGGCCUGAUAAGUAGGGGGUGAAAUCUUGCGGCUUAACCGCAAGGCUGCCUUCUAAACUGUCAGGCUAGAGCACAGUAGAGGCAGGUGGAAUUCCCGGUGUAGCGGUGGAAUGCGUAGAUAUCAGGAGGAACACCAAUGGCGAAGGCAGCUCGCUGGGACGUGACUGACGCUGAGACGCGAAAGCGUGGGGAGCAAACAGG